rnacentral:rRNA from 1 species
UACAGAGGUCUCAAGCGUUGUUCGGAUUCAUUGGGCGUAAAGGGUGCGUAGGCGGCGCGGUAAGUCGGGUGUGAAAUCUCGGAGCUUAACUCCGAAACUGCAUUCGAUACUGCCGUGCUUGAGGACUGGAGAGGAGACUGGAAUUUACGGUGUAGCGGUGAAAUGCGCAGGAUAAUCAGGAGGAACACCAAUUGCGAAGGCAGCUCGCUGGGACGUUAACUGACGCUGGAGACGCGAAAGCGUGGGGAGCAAACAGG